rnacentral:lncRNA from 10 species
AAGUCCUUGAACCAGAGCUGGCUACCAGCAAGGUCCCACACCUGCCAGGGCGAGGCCUGCGCUAGUAUCCCUGCCAUACUCCCGUUAUUGGCUAGGAGUAGGAAGGUGUGAUUGCACGCAAAUGCUGCCGUGGAUUCCAAAGCACAGCAGCAGAGGCCUUCAUUGUUCCUCUCUAGGUACUUGGAGUUCUUCCAGGGCGUUACCGUGACCACCCUAUGAGAUAUGGAAGGACGAAAAAUGGAUCUCUAAUGAAUACAAUCAUAUCUGUAAGCUACAGAUUUUACCAUCAAAAAUAUGAUUUAUUAGUAAAGCUGGCCACAUGGCACUGAAUUUACUGGCCUUUGUAUUAAUCAUAUAAAAUAGUGAUGGGAGUUAUAGUAGGCUGAUUCUGAGAUGGCUCCCUGUGAUCUCAUUGGAAGAGAGAUGUUUAUUAUGAUAUGACAAAAGCCUAGUGCUAAUGUGGUCUGCAGUUAUGCUGAAAACAGAAGAUAUACCUGAUAGACUUGGCUACAUGGCUAAGGAGAUUUCUGGGCAGUGGGGAAGACACUAUUUUUCUCUUGCUGCUUAUAGCAUGAUAGAAGAGCCAUAAAGUGAGGGAAGAAUAAAACAGGAGAGCAUAAGGUCAAAAAAAGGUACAUUAAGAGACAUCUGGCUUUAACUCCAAUGUGUAAAGUUCUUAAAAGUCAUUGCUUCCACUCUUACCACAAGAAGAACCUGAGUGAACUGAAAAUCAGUGACAAUUCGUGUAUCCAAAUGAGAAUGAAGUUCCUACAGCAAACAGCCACCCAGAAAUCUGCAAAGAUAGAUGAAUUAGGGGAGUCACAGCUGAGAUCUGUUUACCCGGUGCAGAAACCACUAGAAACAAACUCUUGGUAGCACUUCAGUGGUAAUGCUGAUGAUUUUCCGGAGCGCUAGUGUGGAGUUGCGUGAGAGUGAUAAACUCCUGGGGUCACACUCUUGGAAUCCCACACAGUUGUGGAUUUUACCUCCAGAAGCCCCACCAAGCUCUCACAGUAAAGAGUUGAGAAAAUGCCAUCAUGGUCAUGUGGGGCGCAUGGAAGAGAAGUUAUUGUGAAAUAUACCCAGAAUAUUCUCCAUAACAAAGACCUACCCUCCAGUGAGGGAUAAAACCUUUAGCAGAGACUUAUCCCACUUGAGGUAAGGUCACUUUUCACACUCUGGGCACCAAUAUCCUUCCUGUUCCUUGUAAGGGGAGAAGCAAAGCUAAGAAAUGCUUGUAAGGGACAUGGACCCCCUAAAAGACUGUGAUGUAAUCAUAAGAGUAUAGAAUACUUCCCCUAUGCCAACCUUCUCACCACACUAACAGGGCUCCAAUGUAACUGUGGAUUACACCUAAAAGAGCCAGAAAACACAGACUCUCUGUGGAGGAGUAUAUAAGGAUGCCCAAAGUCAAGAGUGGAGACAAAAUAAGGAUACUAGAGGAAUUUGAAGCCACCGCUACCUACAUCUACAGCAAACAUUAUAUAUAGCUUGAUUCUCAGCCAGAUUAAUAAUAACAACAAAAAAUGCUCACUAAAGGCCUGUUUGCCUCACUGAUUACUCUUCAAUAUAUUAUGUAUGGGUUUUAAUGGAAAAUUUUAAGGUAUGAAAAAAAGCAAGAAAAAACAAGUCAGAAAGACAAAGCAAGCAUCAGAACCAGACUCAGAUUUGACACAAAUUUGGAAAUUAUCAGAUAGAGAAUUUAAAAUAACUGUUUUAGAUUUUAAAGACUCUAAUGGAGGAAACAGUCAACAUGCAAAAAUAGAUGUGUAAUGUAAGAAGAGUGAUGGAAACUCUAGGAAACAAUCAAAAGGAAAUGCUAGAAAUAAUAAAAAUCACUGACAUAAAUAAAGAAUGUCUUCAAUAGGUUCAUCAACAGAACAAGUUUGAGGAAAGAAUGAGUAAGCUUGAAGAUAAGUCAACAGAAAUAAUUUCGAAAGUAUAAUAUACAUCUAUUUGGAAUACCAGAAGGAGAAGAACAAGAACAAGAAACUAAAGAAAUAUUUGAAGUAACACUGUCAGAGGAUUUUCCCAAAUUAACCACAGCAAAUCACAAGUCAAGAAGUAGAGAACAGUAAACAGGAGAAAUACCAAAACAAUUAUACACAAACUUCAGAAAACCAAAGACAAAAAGAAAAUCUUCAAAGGAGUCAGAGAAAAAGUAACCUGACUUACAGCAAAACAGGACAAGAAUUAAAUUAGACUUCCCAUCAGAAACACAGAAGCAAGAAGACUGGAGUGAAGUAUUUAAAUGCUAAAAUAAAGAAAAAAAAUACAAACUUGAGAAAUAAAGACUUCCUCAGACAAAUGCUGAGGGAAAUAAUCACCAUCAGACCUUCCCUGUAAGAAAAUAUUAAAAGAAGUUCCUCACGGAAAAGGAAGGUGAUAAAGUUCAGAAACUCAAAUCUGCGUAACAAAGGAAGAGUGCCAAAGAAGGAAUAAAUAAAGGUAAAAGAAAAUCUUUUUUUCUUUUCUUAUUCUUAAUUGAUCUAAAAAUAACUAUUUAAAGUAAUAAUACGAUGAUGGUAUCAUAUGAUUAGUGAAGUGAAUGACAGCAAUGAUGGUGGCAUAGUGUCAUUUAAAGGUGGAGUUAGAUUACUUAAAAUGUAUGUUGGAAACUCAGGCUACCAUUAAAAUAUUUUUAUUUUUAUAUUUUUUUUGAGUUGCAGUCUCACUCUGUCACCCAGGCUGGAGUGCAGUGAUAUGAUCAUGGCUCACUGCAAGCUCCUCCUCCUGGGUUCAAGUGAUUCUCCUGCCUCAGCCUCCCAUGUAGCUGGGAUUACAGGCAUCUGCCAUCAUGCCUGGCUAAUUUUUGUAUUUUUAUAGAGAUGGGGUUUCACCAUGUUGGCUAGGCUGGCCUUGAACUCCUGACCUCAGGUGAUCUGCCUGCCUCAGCCUCCCAAAGUGCUGGGAUUAUAGGCA